GGGAGAAUUUUUUUAAGGUUAAGAAAAUGAAUUUUACUUUUUAGUAAGAAGGCUAAAAUAAAUCUUUUAGACAAGAAGACCCUUUAAAACUUUAUAUUUUUAAACUCAGAGGAGAGUUUGAAGGUAUUUCACUGGGGCGGUGGAAAAAUAGUCUUUUUUUAAAAAAAGAGAACAUUCUUGUUAAAGUAUCUAGAAAUUCUGAAGGAGAAAUAAGUUACUUAAGGGAUAACAGCUUAAUUUACUUUGAAAGAUCAAAUUGACAAGUAAGU
rnacentral:rRNA from 1 species